AGAAUCAACGCUGGCGGCGUGCCUAACACAUGCAAGUCGCACGAGAAAGGGGAGCAAUCCCUGAGUAAAGUGGCGCACGGGUGAGUAACACGUGAAUAAUCUACCUCCGAGUGGGGAAUAACUGAGAGAAAUCUUAGCUAAUACCGCAUAACACUUACGAGUCAAAGCAGCAAUGCGCUUGGAGAGGAGUUCGCGGCAGAUUAGUUAGUUGGCGGGGUAAUGGCCCACCAAGACGAUGAUCUGUAUCCGGCCUGAGAGGGCGCACGGACACACUGGAACUGAAACACGGUCCAGACUCCUACGGGAGGCAGCAGUGGGGAAUUUUGCGCAAUGGGGGAAACCCUGACGCAGCAACGCCGCGUGGAGGAUGAAGCCCCUUGGGGUGUAAACUCCUUUCGAUCGGGAAGAUAAUGACGGUACCGAUAUAAGAAGCCCCGGCUAACUUCGCGCCAGCAGCCGC
rnacentral:rRNA from 1 species